AUGGAAUGGAGCUGGGUCUUUCUCUUCCUCCUGUCAGUAACUACAGUUAAGGUGCACACUUGUGUCCACUCUGAGGUUCAGUUGCAGCAGCCUGGACAUAAAGUAGUGAAUGCUGGGGAUUCAGUGAAGCUGUCCUGCAAGUCUUCUGGUUACUCAUUCAGUAGAUUCAAAAUGGACUGGAUGAAGCAGAUCCAUGGAAAGAGCCUUAAGUGGAUUGGAGAUAUUAAUCUUUUCAAUAGUGGUACUAACUACAAUGAAAAGUUCAAAAUCAAAGGCAUAUUGACUGUAGACAUAUCCUCUUGCACAGCCUAUAUGGACCUUAGCAGAUUGACAUCUGAGGAUUCUGCGGUCUAUUACUGUGCAAGACACAAUGCUGCAACCGCACACUGA